rnacentral:rRNA from 1 species
UACGUAGGGUGCGAGCGUUGUCCGGAAUUAUUGGGCGUAAAGGGCUCGUAGGCGGUCUGUCGCGUCGGGAGUGAAAACUCGGGGCUUAACUCCGAGCCUGCUUCUGAUACGGGCAGACUAGAGGUAUGCAGGGGAGAAUGGAAUUCCUGGUGUAGCGGUGAAAUGCGCAGAUAUCAGGAGGAACACCGGUGGCGAAGGCGGUUCUCUGGGCAUGACCUGACGCUGAGGAGCGAAAGCGUGGGGAGCGAACAGG